AUACGUAGGGGGCAAGCGUUAUCCGGAUUUACUGGGUGUAAAGGGAGCGUAGACGGCAUGGCAAGUCUGAUGUGAAAACCCGGGGCUCAACCCCGGGAUUGCAUUGGAAACUGUCAAGCUAGAGUGCAGGAGAGGUAAGUGGAAUUCCUAGUGUAGAGGUGAAAUGCGUAGAUAUUAGGAGGAACACCAGUGGCGAAGGCGGCUUACUGGACUGUAACUGACGUUGAGGCUCGAAAGCGUGGGGAGCAAACAGGAUUAGAUACCCUGGUAGUCCACGCCGUAAACGAUAAAUACUAGGUGUUGGGAGGAACUAUCCUUUCGGUGCCGCAGCAAACGCAAUAAGUAUUCCACCUGGGGAGUACGUUCGCAAGAAUGAAACUCAAAUGAAUUGACGGGG
rnacentral:rRNA from 1 species